AUUGCACGCUGGCGGCAGGCCUAACACAUGCACGUCGAACGAGUGGCGGACGGGUGAGUAAUGUCUGGGAAACUGCCCGAUCGAGGUGGAUAACUACUGGACACUGUAGCUAAUACCGCAUACCCUCGGAUGUGCCCAGAUGGGAUUAGCUAGUAGUGGGGGUAAUGGCUCACCUAGGCGACGCUCCCUAGCUGGUCUGAGAGGAUGACCAGCCACACUGGAACUGAGACACGGUCCAGACUCCUACGGGAGGCAGCAGUGGGGAAUAUUACACAAUGUGCGCAAGCCUGAUGCAGCCAUGCCGCGUGUAUGAAGAAGGCCUUCGGGUUGUAAAGUACUUUCAGCGAGGAGGCGUUACUCGCAGAAGAAGCACCGGCUAACUCCGUGCCAGCAGCCGCGGUAAGAC
rnacentral:rRNA from 1 species